AAGGGUUUAGAGUGGAGAUGAAGACCCUUCCAUACAAAAGGAAAAUAAGCUUGCAUUAAGCAAUAUUAUGGUACAUGGAGUCAUUGCCUAAAAGUUUAUGAUGAUUUUGGCAUGUGAGGAGUGAUCUCCUGGGAUUAUACCCACUUCAGAUAGGAUCAUGUAUGUUAAAGCAUUAAAAAAAUACAAAUUGCAAGAAGUUUUAUAAUGCUAAACUUUAACUUUGGUAUUUUAUAUUCAGAACAUGUACAGCAAAUUUAUGAGUAAAUAUUGUAAUAUUGAUGAAAACAUUCAAAGAGCAAUAAUAUUAUUUGGGGAUUUGUGAAAUUGCAUAUUGUGUGUUUUGGCUGUUGCAUUCAAAACAAAAUGAUAGGAGCACCAGUGUUUUCUUGUUUUCAUAUCUGCUUUUUAAAAAUUAUAUGUAGGAUUUGUCUUUUGUACACAUUUAUUAUCUUCAUAUUUUCAAUCAGAGAAGUUACACAGGAUGUAAUAUAAGAACUACUUUUAGGACUGCAUCUGUAAAUCAUCCUGGGAUGUAGAAAGGACCCAUACAUCAAGCUGACAGGGUUGAUGGCAUUAUUCACUUGCAACUCCUAUAUUCAGAUUCAAAGGAUCCUAGAAGAGUGUUUACUUAGAAAAGCUUUCCUGAUACAUGAAUCUUAUAUUCUUUUGGGUUACCAAAAUUUAAAUGUUAGUGCCCUAUAGAUUUCAACCUCAGAUUUCAGUGUGAACACCACAGGUAAACAUAGUGGACUUGAAAUAUUACAUUAGGAUGACUUCCCAUAGCACCUGACUCGAUUUCUAAAACACCAGUUUAUUAUAACCAUACAUCCAAACAAUGUUCUAAAAAUAAUUUGAAGCCAUAACAUACCUGUAAGCAGAGAUUAAUAUCUGGGCCAUAAAUCAACCUUCUCAGAGAACGACAAAUAUAUCUGAACACAACCAGGACCUGAAGCACGCACAAUUUAUUUUUUCUAAAACAACAAUUUAAAUAAAUGCAAGGGUAUUGCAGAGUAUUUAGUAAACAAAGAAACCAUCUAAAGAAGGAAAUAUAUUUUUUUUAAUGGCCUGCAAUACCAUUACCAAGGAAUAGCAACCUUUAAAAUCCCUUUUCAGAGCUACUGUUUUAUAUACACAUAUUAGGUUUACAUGGUAGCGAUCAUCAUGUAUAUGGGAUUUUGUGUGUAUUCUCUGCUUCUCGGAGCACUAAAUGCAAUCUAUUCAAAUUUCCAUGUCUUGAAAGGAACACUACCUGUGUGUUUUAAUUACUGCUUUGCCUAUUUGGGAAAGGAGGUUUGCCUAAUUUGUGCUUUGAUAAAUGUGACUAUUUUCCAGAAUGUACCAGUCAUAGAGAUUGUGCAAAGACAUGCAUCACUGCUUGGUAAGUCUUAAGGAGAGGAGUUAGUACAGAAAGCAGCAUAUGUCAAAUGUGGCAUUGUUGUAGCAGGAGCAGCCAUUACACUUUCUAGAAAGUUAUCAAAACAAGACAGAAAUCAGACAGAGGGAUGCUGGGGUAGCUCAGCAGUUGAGCGUCUGCUGGGUCAUGCUCAGGGUGUGAUCCCGAGUCCGAGGAUCGAGUCUCACAUCUGGCUCCCUGCAGGGAGCCUGCUUCUCCCUCUGACUGUAUCUCUGCCUCUCUCUUUGUGUCUCUCAUGAAUAAAUAAAUAAAAUCUUAAGGAAAAAAAAAGACAAAUCAGACAGAAAAGCAGACUGAAGAAACAAGAGUAACAAUAGGCCACCUCCCUUCCAAAACCACAACAUGCCCAAGGGAACUAGAAAGGUCCUUAUGACAAGAGCAAGCAAGGGUUGAGAAGAUACUGAGUUAUGAAGGUAUUUUUCAGGCAGUUAUAUUUGCAAACUGUUCUACUUCACCUCUUUCAGAUACAAGGUAGGAUUGCACGUUCGAGGCCUGUUGUGGUUGGAUUGCACCAUAGGAUGAGUUUCGCCAAAUGAGGUGUGAAAAGGUGCUCUGUAUCCUUUCCACACACACCACUCACUUGUCUGUGUGAGGCCUCAGACCUCUUCCUCCUGCAGAGUGACUGGCAGUGUUCAAGCUUAUGCUCAAUAGACACCCCCUGUGCCCCUCUGAUGACCAUGUAACAUGAAAGACAAAGAAACUUUCCUGUUUCCGGCCACAGAGAUUUGGGGUUGAUUUCACCACUGCCUAACUUAACUCGUUCUUACUCAUAAAAUGGUUUGGCCUUUGUGGAUUUUAUGUACAAUGUUUUGGAGUAGCUGUUGAGUAAACGUGCACUUUUCAUAUUUGAUCGUGGAAAAGACAUCAAAAGAUAUUUUAUAGGCUAAAGCAGUCACAGGUGAAGGAAGCCAAGAACGAACUGCAGUUACUGCAGGUCUGAGGCUUUGGGGAUGGUCCCUAAUUACACCAGUCAUCCUUGUAUAACUAUUGAUAAUAAUUUCUUUCCCUCCCCUAAGGUCCUUUGGAUGACAAGUUAUAUUGUAGCUCUACAAAAACAACAUGUUGACCUCUUUAUUCUUACCUCUUCCCACUGAAUAGGUUGUAUGACUUGUAUGUUAUUAUUAAUCUGAUUAAUAUAUUUGGUCCACUUCCAUAUCAGUAUUUUACUUCUCAUGUAUCAUAGUAUUGGAGUUCUUGAUAGACUAGCUCCUGGUGUUUUCAUUAGUGUACUAUGUAUUUUCCUCUGCUUUAUAAUAUACCAGUAUUUCUUUAGCUCUUUCCUUUUCACUGUCUUUUAAUAAACACAAGAAAGGUUAUUAUUUCAUAAACAUGUAACUAUUUAGCCAAUAAUCACUGUAACAGCAAAACAAAUGCCAAUAUAGAAUUUCUGUCAACUCAAAAGGAAAGUGACACCCAGUGUGAUUCAUUUAAGAUUUUUCAAAUUAUUUUCUAGGGCUCCAGGCUGACUAUAUGUAUUGAACACCCAUUCUUUUCUUUUCUUUUUUCUUUUUGACCCAGAAAUUGCAUCUGUCUAUUUAAAAUAUUUAGAAGCCAUUCGAAGUGUUUUCAGAAAUCUUGACUCUGAAAUAUUUGGCAAGAAUAGUCCAAAUAUAGUCCUGUAGUGUGGUCCUUUGGAGCAAAAUUAGAUGACACAGUGAGAAAGACUAGAAAAUAGUGUUGAAAUCAUGAACUUGUUCAAAUUAACUUCCCAAGUUCAAGUUUCUUGGGUUUAAUUCUCUCACAUGCACUUUCUUUCUUGACCUUGACAUUGUUUCUAAACAUCUGUAAUGGCUAUAUAUAAGAGUAACUAUUCCAUGAUCCGUGUUAUACCCACCUUGAAGAAACGAUCAAACAUCUUUGGUCAGACUGAUAAGAAACCUUUGGGUUCUUGACAAGUAUUGUCAAAAAGCCUCUGUUUCUAAACAGCAUAUUUUUAGCAUAGACUAAAUUACUGGUAUAUUUUUCUCCAAUUCAUGCUAGGGAAAAAAAAAAAAAA
rnacentral:lncRNA from 1 species